AUUGAACGCUCGCGGCAGGCUUUACACAUGCAAGUCGCACGAGCGGCGGACGGGUGAGUAAUCUCUGGGAAAGUGCCCGGUAGCGGGGGAUCACUACUCGAAACCGUAUCUAAUACCGCAUACUCUCAGAUCUGCCCAUAUCGGAUUAGCUAGUAGGUGGGGUAAUGGCUCACCUAGGCAACUAUCCGUAGCUGGUCUGAGAGGACGACCAGCGACACUGGAACUGAUACACGGCCCAGAAGCCUACGGGAGGCAGCAGUGGGGAAUAUUGCACAAUGGGGGAAAGCCUGAUCCAGACAUGCCGCGUGUGUGAAGAAGGCCUUCGGGUUGUAAAGCACUUUUAGCGAAGAGGCGUUAUGUGCAGAAUAAGCACCGGCUAACUACGUGCCAGCAGCCGCGGUAAUAC
rnacentral:rRNA from 1 species